UAGGGAAUCUUCGGCAAUGGACGAAAGUCUGACCGAGCAACGCCGCGUGAGUGAAGAAGGUUUUCGGAUCGUAAAACUCUGUUGGUAGAGAAGAACGUUGGUGAGAGUGGAAAGCUCAUCAAGUGACGGUAACUACCCAGAAAGGGACGGCUAACUACGUGCCAGCAGCCGCGGUAAUACGUAGGUCCCCGAGCGUUGUCCGGAUUUAUUGGGCGUAAAGCGAGCGCAGGUGGUUUAUUAAGUCUGGUGUAAAAGGCAGUGGCUCAACCAUUGUAUGCAUUGGAAACUGGUAGACUUGAGUGCAGGAGAGGAGAG
rnacentral:rRNA from 1 species